rnacentral:rRNA from 1 species
CAGAGGUCCCAAGCGUUGUUCGGAUUCACUGGGCGUAAAGGGUGCGUAGGUGGUCAGGUAAGUCGGAUGUGAGAUCUCCGAGCUCAACUCGGAAACUGCAUUGGAAACUACCUGGCUCGAGGGUUGGAGGGGGGACUGGAAUGCUUGGUGUAGCAGUGAAAUGCGUAGAUAUCAAGCGGAACACCAGUGGCGAAGGCGAGUCCCUGGACAACUCCUGACACUGAUGCACGAAAGCUAGGGGAGCAAACAGGAUUAGAUACCCUGGUAGUCCUAGCCGUAAACGGUGCACGUUUGCUGUAAAAGGAAUCGACCCCUUUUGUGGCGUAGCCAACGCGUUAAACGUGCCGCCUGGGAAGUACGGUCGCAAGAUUA